CUUACAGUGUCCGGCUCUCGUCUGGCUCUGCACACACAAGCGGACAAGCUAGUAGCUUCCUCAAUUAAAAGAAAGGUUUUCUUUGCCGAAACUCAAUGUUAUAGCUUAUGCAUGAUAGAAGUGGGUUCCCUGUGGAAGAGAGAGAGAGAGAUAGAAGGAGCUCGUGGGAAUGGGACAGAGUUGUUAUAGGGAAGAGUAGACAAGUUGUUGUGGUUCUUAAAAAAUGAAUCCGGAAUUCGAAUGAUUUUAUCUUCAGGACAGCACAUAUGUCGAAUCGUGAAAACCUGAACUCGUGAAAACCUGAACUCGUGAAAACCUGAACUCGUGAAAUUAAUCCUGUAGCGUGGAAUUGUGAAAUCAUUGACUGACUGAACUCUGAAUAAACUGAUAAUCUAGAACUUGAACGUCACGCA